AUGAAAAAUUUCAAUCAGGAUUUAGACCCAACCAUAGUACCGAAACCGCAUUAAUUAGAGUAGUUAACGAGUUGUUAAUGUCUUCUGAUAAUGGAUGUGUCUCUUUUCUUGUUCUAUUAGAUCUUAGUGCAGCGUUUGAUACGGUCGAUCAUAACAUUUUACUGGAGAGGCUAGAAAAUACAGGCAUUCUGAUGGAAACCUGUUUACCCGCCGAGGUUAAGGAUUAAAGUCGAGACUGCCGGGACAACGAUGCUGCUCCUGUCAGAUGUGACGGGUCUGGAGUAAUUGCAACGACAAGAAAUCACUACAGACUUUAUUGAAGACUAGAGCGGAUAACAACUCUAUUAUUAUUUAAUUGUUUAUUUAUCUAUUUAUUACCACUGUAUGACUUUUAGAUCAUUCAAUUCUGUGUUUGUAUGAUUUGUGUAAAUCGUGUAUUUAUUUAAAGUAUCCUCCAGACCACCCAAGAAGGAUGGGCCCUGUUGAGUCUGGUUCCUCUCAAGGUUUCUUCCUGUAAUUUUCAGGGAGUUUUUCCUUGCCACAGUCGCCCUCGGCUUGCUCAACAGGGGUUUUUGUAUCUGUUGGUCCUGGAUUUUGUAAAGUUGCUUUGAGACAAUGUAUAUUGUAAAAAGCGCUAUAUAAAUAAAGUUGACUUGACUUGACUUGACUAGAUGACCUCACCAUCUGCUGUAAUAUUUUGACAUUUUGUUAGGGUGCCUGCGACGGCUGGUGAAAAUACCAUCAGCUCCCAGCGUCGCAGGCGUUACAGAACAACAAAGAGCUUGGCCUCAAAUAGCAGGCCAGCUCGUUAGGGGCGAACGACCUGCACCUGCGAUCUCCCUAUUUAAGGGGGCGUCGCCAGGUUGCAGGCGACGCACCUUUAUCUUUUGUUUCCACUCAAUGACUGCACAAGUCGCUUCUUUUAUAGGGACAGUUUCGGUUCCCCGGGCGCUAAAUAGGGCGGUCGGGUGUGUAAGUCGUAAGACUGAGGUAUUGUAGGGUUUUGGUUCUAUUUUUAGGGAAAGAUUGGUGCGACUUCGUGCAGCCCUCGCGCUGCCGUUUGUUUACGGCGUUUUGCAUUAAAGCCCCUUCUGUGCGGUUAGCGGUCAGGUGGGUUCAACACUGCCGGGUUGGCCGUGUGGACUAAGCCAUAGCGUCAUCCACUUUUACAGUCCCGGUUCGAAUCCACGCUACAGUUAGCGUCCUCCCUUUUCUUCUAACUUCCGAUCGGUUUCUUCCCAGCGGCAUUAACUUACCGCUGGUGACAAAACCGGUUCGGCUGUAGUCCCAGUUCCUGAUUAAUUUCACUUUAGCGAUCCCGGAGGAUUAUCCCGGGAUCUGUCGCCCUCAGCGCUUCUUUUAAGCACGAGGGCUCCUUUGUUUACUCGCUGUGAAAUAGCGCAGCGAGCAGCGCGAACGCCUCUCAUUCAGGCGAUCCAGGUUCGCGCCUCGCGCUUUUGCUUUCGUUUUCCAUUAUUCUUUUUUCUCUUUUUCAGUUGCCUGCGACGCCAGCGGCUUCACUCGGGAAUUCUGCCCGAGUUGUUUUCUGUGCCUGUUUUUGUGUUUUGAUUAUUAUUUAUUGUUAAAUAAAAGAACACCUUUCUCCGCA